rnacentral:rRNA from 1 species
UGCAGUCGGGCGGAACGAUGGAGCUUGCUCCAGGCGUCGAGCGGCGGACGGGUGAGUAACGCGUAGGAAUCUGCCCAGUAGAGGGGGAUAGCCCGAGGAAACUCGGAUUAAUACCGCAUACGCCCUACGGGGGAAAGCAGGGGAUCUUCGGACCUUGCGCUAUUGGAUGAGCCUAUGUCGGAUUAGCUAGUUGGUAGGGUAAAGGCCUACCAGGGCUACGAUCCGUAGCUGGUCUGAGAGGAUGAUCAGCCACACUGGGACUGAGACACGGCCCAGACUCCUACGGGAGGCAGCAGUGGGGAAUAUUGCACAAUGGGCGCAAGCCUGAUGCAGCAAUGCCGCGUGUGUGAAGAAGGCCUGCGGGUUGUAAAGCACUUUUAUUGGGAAAGAAAAACCCGGAGCUAAUACCUCCGGCAUUGACGGUACCCAAAGAAUAAGCACCGGCUAACUCAGUGCCAGCAGCCGCGGUAAUACUGAGGGUGCAAGCGUUAAUCGGAAUUACUGGGCGUAAAGCGAGUGUAGGCGGUUACUUAAGUCGGAUGUGAAAUCCCCGGGCUCAACCUGGGAAUUGCAUUCGAUACUGGGUAGCUAGAGUUUGGUAGAGGUAAGUGGAAUUCCGGGUGUAGCGGUGAAAUGCGUAGAUAUCCGGAGGAACAUCAGUGGCGAAGGCGGCUUACUGGACCAAAACUGACGCUGAGGCUCGAAAGCGUGGGGAGCAAACAGGAUUAGAUACCCUGGUAGUCCACGCCCUAAACUAUGUCAACUAGACGUUGGGCUCAUUAAUGAGC